UUGAAUACGAUAUGAAGAAUAUUGAAGAGCUGGGAGAUCAUCUUCAGACUGUUAGGAGAAAAGAGACUGCAGUAAAGUGGGAACUCUCAGAGAUUAAAGCCAAGUACGAGCAAUUGAAGGUAGUCUCUGACGAGGAGAUAACGGCCCUGGAAAAGGAAAAUUGCAGACUUGAAGAAUGACUCGCAUUGUGCGAAAGCAGCAUCGAGUCAUUUAAGUUGAAGAGAAAAAUUGAAGAACUGCAGUAUGUCUUGCAUGCAGCAGAAGAAGAUGGUGAAGCCCCAAAGAAGUUGGCCACCGAACUUGCAAAACAGCUAAACGAAUAGAACUCGACUGAUAUCAAAAUAGAGCAGGUCAAGGUCGAGCUGCAGAAGGCCAAAAGUCAAAUUAGGCAGUUGAAAAUGGCUAAAGAGGACUAUCUGGAGGCCCAGCAACAAGCAAAAGUUGGCUAUCAAGCAAUGCCCAUUUAAAUCGUUCUUAAUAUUGAGUGUUUUCAUACACAAGCCCACAAAUUGGCAAAGUUCGCGGAAAUUGAAAAGGAAAAUGCGCAGAUUAAAGAGAAUUUCACGCGGCUGAAAGACAACUUAAAGAACAAGCUUCUACUGGAGGAAGAAGUACAUGACCUGAAAAACCGACUGACAAAGUCAAAGGAGCUGGAAAAGCGGGAGACUGAGCUACGAGUAGAUUUUUUUGACUUACGCGACUUGAUGCAUUAUUGACCAAAUUUUCUGUAGGCAAAGUGCUACCAAAACGAAAUGAAUCUUAGCGAAUGGAAUCUUAGCGAAUGAGGCUGACGCAAAAUCGAACCUUUUUCACACACAACGUGCGCAAAAAGUGGCUCUAACUUCUAACUUUUGAGAAACUAAAUGUCAAACUCCGGUCUGCAUAAACAACCAGACUCUAAAUCAGAAUAAAUGAGAACAUUCACUUAAUGAA
rnacentral:lncRNA from 1 species